UACUACUCCAUUUUCAGAGUUCUGGUUUUGUUGAAUUGGGUAUCAAAUGGGGCGUUCAACUUGGAAGUAUCAAGUCUUCUUUUUGUUCAGUUUGAUCUUGCAUUCUCAACUUCCCUUUCCAUCGUCUCUCUCUUCUUCCUUGUCUUCAAUGCCACCAUGCUCUGCUCUACUCCAUUUUAGUAAGUCUUUUUCUCUUGACAAAUCUGCUUCUGAAUAUGAUGCUUCUUAUCCAAAAACAGCCAGUUGGCAGGAGGAUAAGCACUGUUGCGGUUGGGAUGGGGUCGAGUGUGACAAAAACACAAGCCAUGUGGUUGGCCUGGACCUUACUUCCAGCUGGCUUAUGGGCCACUUUCAUUCCAACAGUAGGUUGAACCUCGCUGACAAUUGGUUCACUGACAAUUGGUUCAGUCGCUCUCUAAUUCCCUCUAAGUUUGGCAACUUUAAGAGUUUGACUUAUCUUAACCUUUAUUUUUCCAUAUUUUCUGGCCAAAUCCCGUUUCACUUGAUCUUUCUUGGAAUGGGCUAUUAAUCGAAGCUCCAGUAUGGAAAAGAGUCUUUGGUAACCUAACUCAGUUAAGGGAACUUAUUCUGUAUUCCAAAAAUAUGUCCUCAAUUAGACCUAAUUCUUUGACGAAUCUAUCCUCCUCUUUGUCAACUCUUAGUCUCCGUGACUGUGGCUUGCGGGGAAAACUCGAAAAUAACAUCCUCUGCCUUCCCAAUUUACAAACCCUUGAUCUGUCAUAUAAUAGUUUUAACGGUCUGUUGCCGUCAUCACUAUUGAACUUGCCGAAUCUCUCAACUUUAAACCUUGGGUGCAAUCAACUUGUUGGUCCCCUUCCUAGUCACGUAAGUGGUUUGAAUCUAGUUGUUCUCUAUUUAAAUUCAAAUUUCCUAAAUGGAACACUGCCAUCUUGGUUGUUCAGUAUGCCAUCUUUGGAGACUUUGUAUCUUGAUAGUAAUCAGUUUGUUGGUGAGAUUGGUGAAUUCAAGUACAAUUCAUUGAAGGAUCUUGAUUUGGGUUAUAAUAAGCUACAUGGCUCUAUACCUAAGUCAAUAUCUAGACUUGUGAACCUUACUAGCCUAUCUCUUUCAUCAAAUAACUUGAGUAUUAUGUUGGGGUCUGAAAUGUUUUCAAAGCUCAAAAAUCUUGAGACUCUUGAUUUUUCAAAUAACUCAGUUAGCUUCAAUAAUAAUGCUACCUAUGCCCUGCCCAAUCUUAAAAAUUUGAACUUGGCUUACUCCAAUAUCAGUGAAUUCCCAAUUUUCUUAAGACUGACAACAAAUUUACGAUCCUUAAACCUUUCCAAUAACCGAAUUUAUGGUCGAGUUCCAAGAUGGUUGGGGGGUGUGCGGAAUGAUUCAUUAUCUUUUGUUGAUCUUCGUAAUAACUUGCUACAAGGACCAUUUCCCACUCUAAAUUCUUCCAAUCUGGUAUUUAUCUUUUUCUCCAAUAACAAUUUAACAGGAGAAAUCCCUUCUUUAAUUUGCGAUGCAAUUUACCUUGAAGUUCUAGACUUGUCUCAUAACAACUUAAGUGGCAUGAUUCCUAAGUGUUUGGUAAACUCUACUGCCCUCUCGGUGUUGGAUUUGCGAAUGAAUAGCUUUCAUGGUACCAUUCCUGCAACAUUUGUGAUCAGAAAUUAUUUUAGGACUAUUAACCUUAAUGGCAAUCAAUUGGAAGGGCCAUUACCACCAUCUUUGGCAAAUUGUAGGGACUUGGAAGUUCUAGAUCUUGGAAAUAAUAAGAUAAAUGGAGCCUUCCCUUAUUGGUUGGGAAGUCUUCAUAAAUUGCAAGUUCUUGUCAUAAGAUCAAAUAGAUUUCAAGGUCAUAUAGGCAAUCCUAAAACCAAAUUUCCUUUCCCGAAUUUGCGAAUCAUAGACAUCUCUAACAAUCAGUUUAAUGGUCCUUUGCCAAUAAAAUAUUUCAAAUAUUUGAAAGCCAUGAAGACUAUGGAAGAAAGUGAAGUUACAUCGAAAUAUAUGGGAGAAAAUUACUAUCAAGAUUCAUUGAAUAUCAUGAUGAAAGGGCGGUAUAUUGAGAUGGAGAGAGUCCUAACCAUCUUAACAAGCAUUGAUUUUUCAAACAAUAGUUUCAGAGGAGAGAUGCCAAAGAUAAUUGGAAGGUUUAAAUCACUCAAGGGGCUCAACUUUUCUCACAAUAACCUUAUAGGUUAUAUUCCAUCAUCAAUUGGAAAUUUGACCAAUCUUGAAUGGUUAGACCUCUCUUUCAACAAGCUCAGUGGAGAGAUUCCUAGUCAAUUGGCAGAUCUAACAUCACUUGAAGUCUUAAAGCUAUCACAUAACCAACUCACAGGACCCAUACCUUCAGGAAAUCAAUUCAAUACAUUCAACAAUGAUUCGUACACCGAAAACUUGGGAUUGUGUGGGUUUCCAUUGUCAAAAACAUGCAACAACCACAAGGCAAAGCAACAACCACCACCUACCUUGCAACAAGAUGAAAAUUUAGAGCAUGAAAAUGGGUUUGGUUGGCAAGCUGUAUCCAUAGGUUAUGCAUGUGGAGCAAUAUUCGGAAUGUUUAUGGGAUAUCUUAUGUUCAAAAUUGGAAAACCAAAGUGCCUUGUGAAGAUGGUCAAAUUAGAGCAGCAUAUCAUGCUCAGAAGAUUGAAGAAGAAUGCCCACAAACAUGGUGAAAGAAGAUAACCGCUUCUAUGUUAAUUCUGAUAGAUGGUGUUGGAGGCCCAAAAUUUCCUCCACCUUGGAUGGGAGCUCAAGUGCUACUCCAGUUUUCUUUUAAGAGAAAGUAGGGGAAAGAUGUUGGAUGGAGAGAUCUAAUUGAAAAGCUGAGAACAAUGAACAAGAAAAAUGUGAGAAAGCUCCUAAUCAACAUGUUGAGCCCAAGAAAACUUGUGAAGAUUCAACUCAAUGGGUUCUCUUUCCAUGAGUUCUCUUUGGGGUUUAUUCUUAGUAGCUAGAUUUUUCAAAUGCAGUAAUUGAUACAGUAUGGCACAGCAGCUCAAUUUUUUAUAUCAUCUUCCAUUGACAUUCUUAAGCUAGACGAAUCUUCUGUUGGUUUAAUUGGGAACUCAAGAAGUUCAUCAAGGGCACUUAAUUAGCUCCAAAAUUCUAUAGUCCUGAUUCCAUUCUAUAAGUGACACAUACACCUCUCUCUCUCUCUCUCUCUCUGUUUGUGUGUCUCUUUAAUCUUUCACAAUUUUUGCAUCAAAUUCAAGAGAUAAUUCAAUGCUUGGAGGCAAGAUUGAGUAGAGUUGCAAAACAAAGCCAUACUUGAUUCAUCUUUGCACAGUGAUGUUGGAUAAUACAAAUAAUUGAGUUUUUACUGAUGAACAAUAAAUGAAUAUGUUCAUGUAUAAUAAGAUUGGAGGACAAAGAUUUGUCUUAAUUAUAUUUUCUGUGUAUAGAACUUUUACAUUGGUCUGAAUAUAUAGAUGCUGUUACAAUGAACCUAGACAAAAAUAUUGACAGCCUAAUCCCAUAAUUGUAGCUAGACAGAAUAGUAACAGCUACCAAAACUCCCCUAAAGGUGGAGCGUGUACAUGAGUAAUGCCCAGCUUGCUGAUAAGACGAUGGAAAGAAUCCUUACCCAAAGGCUUGGUAAAAAUGUCAGCAAUUUAAUAUGACAAGAUUGGAAACCCCUUAAUUGAGCUGAAAACUCCCCUAAAGGUGGAGCGUGUACAUGAGUAAUGCCCAGCUUGCUGAUAAGACGAUGAAAAGAAUCCUUACCCAAAGGCUUGGUAAAAAUGUCAGCAAUUUAAUAUGACAAGGUUGGACCAAUUUGGCUUGGAUUUUUUGUGUAUAGAACUUUUACAUUGGUCUAAAUAUAUAGAUGCUGUUGCAAUGAACCUAGACAAAAAAAGAAAUUAACAGCUGCCAAAUCCCAUUAUUACAGCUGAUUGAAAACCCCUUAAUUAAGCUGAUUAGGAAUCCCUUAAUUGUCUCUUAUAGUUCAACACACCAUAUAUGUUGGGUUUGUAAUUUGAAUAUUGUUGUUCACUUGUUUGUAUCUAGGUAUAGAUUUUUAUUAUUGUUGUGGUACUAGGUAUUAUGGUCCCUAAUAAUGUUAUGGGUAUAAACCAAUGGCUCUAAUGAGUUUGCUUUUCAUUGUUCCUAUCUUCAUUACAUUAAGUAAAGGUUGGAUUGCUGAAAUUUCUAAUAGAUACUAGAACUUACGAAUUUAUUAAUCGUUGCACGACAUUUCCUUCUUGUCAAGUUGCUUUUUCUUUUUCCAAAUCAUAACAUGGGAAAAAAUGGGCUUUACUACUUCAGAUUUUCUGAUGAGUUAGUGACAAGCUAGUAAGCUAUUAUUCACCAAGUCUUGAUGGGUUCAGAAUUUGAAUAAUUUAAGCAACAUCCUCAUUAGCAUUAUAUCGUUCUUCCUUUCUCUAUGAUUAAUAGCCUAAUCUCACUCAAAAUCUUUCUUGUUCCUUUUUUUUUUUUUGGCGGGGGUGAC